rnacentral:rRNA from 1 species
UGGGGAAUAUUGCACAAUGGGCGCAAGCCUGAUGCAGCCAUGCCGCGUGUAUGAAGAAGGCCUUCGGGUUGUAAAGUACUUUCAGCGGGGAGGAAGGGAGUAAAGUUAAUACCUUUGCUCAUUGACGUUACCCGCAGAAGAAGCACCGGCUAACUCCGUGCCAGCAGCCGCGGUAAUACGGAGGGUGCAAGCGUUAAUCGGAAUUACUGGGCGUAAAGCGCACGCAGGCGGUUGAUUGAGUCAGAUGUGAAAUCCCCGGGCUUAACCCGGGAAUUGCAUCUGAUACUGGUAAGCUAGAGUCUUGUAGAGGGGGGUAGAAUUCCAUGUGUAGCGGUGAAAUGCGGAGAGAUGUGGAGGAAUACCGGUGGCGAAGGCGGCCCCCUGGACAAAGACUGACGCUCAGGUGCGAAAGCGUGGGGAGCAAACAGG